GACGUAGGGCGCGAGCGUUGUCCGGAUUUAUUGGGCGUAAAGAGCGCGUAGGCGGCCGAGUAAGUCCGACGUGAAAUCUGGAGGCUCAACCUCCAGCGGUCGUUGGAAACUACUCGGCUAGAGUCCGGAAGAGGAGAGUGGAAUUCCUGGUGUAGCGGUGAAAUGCGCAGAUAUCAGGAAGAACACCGAUGGCGAAAGCAGCUCUCUGGGACGGUACUGACGCUGAGGCGCGAAAGCGUGGGGAGCGAACAGG
rnacentral:rRNA from 1 species